AUCGAACGCUGGCGGCAUGCCUAACACAUGCAAGUAGAGCGUGCGGCGGACGGGUGAGUAAUGUAUGGGAAUCUGCUCGAUGGAGGGGGAUAACUACUGGAAACGGUAGCUAAUACCGCAUACCAUCAGUGGAACCCAUAUGGGAUUAGCUUGUGGGUGAGGUAACGGCUCACCAAGGCGACGACCCCUAGCUGGUCUGAGAGGAUGAUCGGCCAAACUGGGACUGUGACACGGCCCAGACGCCUACGGGAGGCAGCAGUGGGGAAUAUUGCACAAUGGGCGCAAGCCUGAUACAGCCAUGCCGCGUGUAUGAAGAAGGCCUUCGGGUUGUAAAGUACUUUCAGGCGGGAGGCGUUACCGGCAGAAGAAGCACCGGCUAACUCCGUGCCAGCAGCCGCGGUAAUAC
rnacentral:rRNA from 1 species